GACCAGUCCACUUCGAUUUAUUUAGAGGUAGAUCGGGAUGGGUCAAAAUGGAUCGAAGUGGGCCGGCCCAUCUUGACCGCUCUGGUGUUGUGCUCGCCGUUCAUGCUUUAAAGCCCAUAACAAGAUACAAAGCUUAGAUAUCUGACGCCAGGUUUUGGGCUUCUCUGUCCCAUCCCGCUGGCCCAUGCGUGGCUUAGCUAGUGUUCGGUGAGUUACUGUUUAGAUAAAGAUGCCCACCAAAAAAAAAACCAUUAUGCAGUCGGACAACAGGACCUCUCUCUCUCUCUCUCUCUCUCUCUCUCUCUCUCUCUCUCUCUAUAUAUAUAUAUAUAUAUAUUCUUCUUCUUCUUUUGUGAUGAAAUGCCUCCACCAUCCUCGUGAGAAUAAAAUUUACUUGUGCGAUAUUUGCUAACUGAUUAUGUAUUAAUUUACGGUUCGCAGAAUGUUUUAAACUGCAAGAUUAUCCUUCCAGUUGGACCAUUCUUUCAGACAUCAUAAACGCAAGGAAAAAAGAAGCACAAAGAGAGAAGCACUACGCAUGCAUUUAUUUUUUCUUUUUUGAGGGAACCACGCAUGCACUUAGAAGCACUGAAAACGUUUAUUUUUUUUCUGCAGUGCUCAUUUCUCAGUCAAGAUCUGCAGCUACUUUGCUUGGAUUUAGUUUCUAUCCUAAAAGCUCUGGUUAUGUCACCUGAAAAAUGCGCUCCAGAGUUUUGGCUCGUGCACUUCAUUUGAUAUCUUCCGCAGAGACCUUUUUUUUUUUCUUAAAGAGGGGGUGCCUUGGGGAC
rnacentral:lncRNA from 1 species